GUCGGUCGGUUGUAGUGUCAUGCGAUUUUUAUAGAAUAAUAAAUGCGUUAGAUUUUUACAGAUUCAUUUAAACAGAUUUUUACACAUUUUUACAGAGUAUUAAAGGGUAUUAAAUAGUCAGAGUAAUCCGAAUAUUAAACCUGAUAUUAACGUCGAAUCUUUACCUUGUUUUCACAGGAUUUUCACGAGAUUUGCACCGUUUUUAAGGAGAUGGGUCAGGAUUACUAACAUCUGGUUACGAUGGCACCUGCAGAACCCUAUUUGAUGGGUCUCAUGUAGUCAUGAUCAGUAUCCAUUUUCAGAUGGGAAUCCUGCAGAACAUCGAUCAGAUUGUUACGACGGCAAAUAACAAAAGAGUAAUAGAGUAAACGAUGAAGAAUAAGAUGUAGAGGCCGACUAAAAAUUUAUACCAUUGUUAUCGGAAGAAAAAGAUGUAGAUGGUGACUAAAAAUUUAAACCAAAUUAAUCGACAGUCUAACCUUGGUAAACCUACAAAAGUUAAACCACGCUCAGAUUUUUCCACCUUCUUACAUCCUCCGAAAAAGCUGCAAAAGGAGACAAGAAUGAUUUCGAUUCGACGUGCGCAGACUUGCUCUCGAUAGAUGAUUGACGUAUGCAGAGUGCGACAGUGAAAAGACUAGACCUGAAAAUAUUAUUCUAAUACAAUAAAUUUAAUUUAUAAAAGCCCGUUGUCAAAUUUACCAAUACUUUCACAUAACGUAUUUCAGACAUUGUCUUAAACUAAAUGUAACAAAUUUAUUACUAUAGAUUUGACCGUUGAUUAAUUAUGCACCCAAAUUUUUUACCAUAAUAAGAUUUUAAAAAGUCGGUGGAAUUCUAGAAAUUCGAAAUACCGAAAUCGAAUUACUGAAACGAUUUCAGGAUAAUUUUUCGAUAAUCCAAAUCUAUAUAAUUAAUGUGAAAUUAUAAAGUGAUGGGUAUUAAUGGAAGAAUAAUAUAACCGAAUAGUAUAAACCGAAUAGUAUCUACUUUCGGAUAUACUAACCGAAUUAGAUAUAUCCGAAUAAUUAUCCGGUUAUAUCCAGAUAAAAUAUUUCGGAUAUAUAUUGGGUUCUAAUUUAUUUGGAUAAAUCCCUACCGAUUUUAUUAUGGUCAAUCUUUCCCGAUCUACUCCAAAAUCCCUACCACCCGGUCUACGCAGGCGACAGGAUAACCAGACCGGCCCGCCGCGUUCUGGAUUUACCUAAAUAGUCAAAGAAGUCAUCCCUCGAUAAUCUGUAAAUUGAUAAUCAAUAGGUAUUUUUAAUCAUUAAAUAAAAUAAAGUAAUCGGAUUGCAGGCAGCCUGUAUAAUUUUCCAAAACAAUCUACAUGUAAUGAAUAUCCGUCAAAAGUUCUUGGAGAACAUCAUUAAACGAAAGAAACGGAGGAAUAAAACCUAGAAUCUCGUAGACGAAAUCUACCAUACAGCUGUGUGUUAAAAUAAACUGUUGCCUAACACCUAACGAAAAACUCGAGAACAUAAACCCAAAAUAAUCCCUUACCUCCGCUUUUAUAUUCUCCAAAGAAAAUAAGGUAUGUCUCCGGUGAUGUUGUUCUUCCACUUCGCCCAUGACGGAAUCAUUUGGAAUGGGUAAUCGGCAACAUGAUUUACAAAUCAUACAGGUUUUGAGAUAUACGAGAUUGCCUGGUGGAGUUGAUAUAUGAGACUGCCUGGUGGAGUUGAUAUACGAGACUGCUUGGUGGAGUUGAUAUACGAGACUUCAUGGUACAAGACCAACGAAGAAUUUCGAAAUUAGGGAUGAAUUGAAAAUAGGGUUAUGCAGUCUGUAUAUGAUUUUGGUUAAAAUUCAUUUCCUCAUAAAUGGGUUAUAAUUGAUUGACCGAUUAAUGCAUCUCACCCGAUUAUUUAUGUUUGAGGGUUUAUUUGUCAUUACCUAUUUGCCUCCCAAUGUCGAUACUACGAGGUAUUAAAAUCUGCAAGAACCCCUUCCAUUAUUAAUUUGCGAUAACCCAUUUCGAUUGUAAAAAGAACCCAUUCCGAUU
rnacentral:lncRNA from 1 species